rnacentral:rRNA from 1 species
GGGCCCGCACAAGCGGCGGAGCAUGCGGAUUAAUUCGAUGCAACGCGAAGAACCUUACCUGGGUUUGACAUACACCGGAAAGCUGCAGAGAUGUAGCCCCUUUUUGUCGGUGUACAGGUGGUGCAUGGCUGUCGUCAGCUCGUGUCGUGAGAUGUUGGGUUAAGUCCCGCAACGAGCGCAACCCUCGUCCUAUGUUGCCAGCACGUGAUGGUGGGGACUCAUAGGAGACUGCCGGGGUCAACUCGGAGGAAGGUGGGGAUGACGUCAAGUCAUCAUGCCCCUUAUGUCCAGGGCUUCACGCAUGCUACAAUGGCCGGUACAAAGGGCUGCGAUCCCGUGAGGGGGAGCGAAUCCCAAAAAGCCGGUCUCAGUUCGGAUUGGGGUCUGCAACUCGACCCCAUGAAGUCGGAGUCGCUAGUAA